AGAGUUUGAUCCUGGCUCAGAACGAACGCUGGCGGCGUGUUUAAGACAUGCAAGUCGCACGGGAUUGGUUGAGUAGUAAUACGAGAUCAGUCUAGUGGCGCACGGGUGAGUAACAUGUGAAUUACAUGCCCUUCAGUGGGGAAUAGCCCAGGGNAAACUUGGAUUAAUACCCCAUGGUAUCGCAAGAUUAAAGGUGGCCGCAAGGCUGUCGCUGAAGGAUUGGUUCGCACCCUAUCAGCUUGUUGGCGGGGUAAUGGCCCACCAAGGCUACGACGGGUACCUGGUUCUGAGAGGACGAUCAGGCACACUGGAACUGAGACACGGUCCAGACACCUACGGGUGGCAGCAGUCGAGAAUAAUUCACAAUGGGGGCAACCCUGAUGGUGCAACGCCGCGUGGAGGAUGACGGUCUUCGGAUUGUAAACUCCUGUCAUCUGGGAGUAAGACCUGGGAGUUAAUAGCUCACAGGGUUGAUAGUACCAGAAGAGGAAGGGACGGCUAACUUCGUGCCAGCAGCCGCGGUAAUACGAAGGUCCCAAGCGUUGUUCGGAAUCACUGGGNCGUAAAGGGAGCGUAGGCGGCGUGGUAAGUCAGAUGUGAAAUCCCGGGGCUCAACCCCGGAACUGCAUCCGAUACUGCCAUGCUANAGGAUUGGAGAGGUAGCUGGAAUUCUUGGUGUANCAGUGAAAUGCGUANAGAUCAAGAGGA
rnacentral:rRNA from 1 species